ensembl:lncRNA
GAUCCUUUAUGCUGACUUCAAGCAGAGAAUCCUUAAUGCCAGUGCGAUCCCUGAAGGACAGUUCAUCGAUGGAAAGAAGGCUUCUGAGAAGCUCUUGGGAUCAAUUGAUAUUGAUCACACACAGUAUAAGUUUAGCCACACAAACGGCAGUGAGAAUCUCAUAGAUGCUGAAGAGAGGUGUGAUAAAAAGCAGAGGCCAAGCUGAAAGAGCUGACUGAAAGACCGAAUGAUGAAGAAGAAAUCAAUUCUGAGCUGACAGCAAAGAAAAGGAAACUAGAGGAUUAAUGCUCUGAGCUGAAGACAUUGAUGAUCUGGAGGAAGGAAAAGCAUGCAACUGAGAAUAAGGUUAACCUGGAGAAGAUGUGCCAUAAUCUUGAAGACCAACUGUCUGAAGUGCAUAGCAAGAAUAAGGAGAAUAUGCGUUAAAUUAAUGACCUCAGC